rnacentral:misc_RNA from 1 species
UUAUUCUUGUUGAUUUCCAUCACCGUUCCCAAAUCUCCCUUUAAGUAACACAAGAUUUGUUCAAAGAUUGCCCUAGGUUUAACUAUUGGAGAAGAGAUCAUGGACUGAAUUACCACACUAACAGAGUAUGCAAUGUUAGGAAAAUUCAUUGUAAGAUAAUCAAUUUAUCAACCAGUCUCCUAUACUUCUCAAGGUCUUCAAAC